rnacentral:rRNA from 1 species
UCCGUAGGUGACCCUGCGGAAGGAUCAUUAA